rnacentral:rRNA from 1 species
UACAGAGGUCUCAAGCGUUGUUCGGAUUCAUUGGGCGUAAAGGGUGCGUAGGCGGCGUGGUAAGUCGGAUGUGAAAUCUCGGAGCUUAACUCCGAAACUGCAUUCGAUACUGCCGUGCUUGAGGACUGGAGAGGAGACUGGAAUUUACGGUGUAGCGGUGAAAUGCGCAGAUAUCGUAAGGAAGACCAGUGGCGAAGGCGGGUCUCUGGACAGUUCCUGACGCUGAGGCACGAAGGUCAGGGGAGCAAACGGG